AUGGAAGAUGAUUGGUUGACCAGUCUCCAUAAAACAGCUGUGCUGCUUGUUCUUCUUUGUUGCAGCUCUGGAACUAACGAAAAUGGAAAAGAUUCAAUCCACCAAAUUUCAUUUGUCAUUUUUUAAUUUUUUAUCACAAUUAAAAAAUAUGGCUGCGGAUACUUUUUCAGGCAGUUUUUAUGAAGCCUCUUUGGCCCCUUGGGCUCGGCCCAAUAUUAUGUCUGCAUGUGAGGAAAGGCUGGAAUCUACACUUGGACCAGUUUAUUACAAUGGAGAAAUUACUGAAACCGUUCCUGAUGGGCCGCUAUUUUCCAACAGAAAACCAUGUAUUAUUAUAAUCAAAAAAUCUAAUGGCCGUUUUGUGAGAGGCCUUGGCUGUUUCUAUGGGAAUGGUCAUGUGCUGACUGCCUAUCAUGUUGUUAAAAAUGUGAAUCAUGGUUGUAAAAUAUUUGUCAUCUUCCCCACCUCAGAAACUUCAGAUAAGUUUCUGGUCUACAAAGCUUUUAGAAAAUUGGGCAACACCUACAAAGACAGAGAUCAGGCCUUUUUAAAACUAUAUGGGAAAACUUCUCCUCUGGGUGAUGGACUACAAAAUCAAAUUGAUAAAGUGUCUAAAAAUGUAUAUUUUUAUAUCUUAACAGAUUUAGGCCGCUUCCAAAAGCAAGAGUGCAAAGUAAAGCGACGUAAUUCAUGCAUAUUUGAAAUGUGUAAAUCAGGUAGAGCGGGGGACAGUGGCUCACCUAUUUUCUGUGAAAAAGGGAAAUGGAUUGGCGUAUAUCUUGGCGAGAAUAAAGAUCAGUUUGGUUUAGCUUCACAAGUUUUUUCUAACAUAACCCCCUGGUCCUCAUCUGGUCCUUAUCUGGAGUUAUGCGAUCAUAUUAUUUUUUGAUUUAAAUAUGUUUGGAAUCUCUUUUCUGUUUUUCCUUUUUAUAUUAUAUAUAUUUUAUAUUAUAUAUAUAAUAUUAUAAUGUAUAAUAAAAUAAUAAUUAAUAAACAAUGAAUAAAAAAAAUAGUUAAGCUAAUCAGACACUUUUUUCACAACUCUCUAACUGCUUAUCAAUAAAAAUAAAUAAAAAAUAAAUAAAAUAAAUAAAAAAUAUAAAAUUAAAUAUUAAAAAACUGAACAGUCAUUUUAUUAACUCAGUUUUUUUUAUUACAUUUCUUCUGUGAUAAAAAGCAAACAAACCAAAAAAAUAAUUAUAAAAAAAUACAAAUGUAUUUAAAAUAUAUACAGUUAGACAUUAACAAAUUCUCCAUGAUUAGGGCUCUGCAUUCCACCACACUGGAUUUAAAAUGAAAUAAAUUAGCUGUAUAUUUAAAUCUAUCCUAUUUAUCCCAUGAAAAAUGGCUGCAACUCCUAAACACUUCAUAUGAUAUUUGUGUUUAAAAUGUGAGCCCAGGUUAUGUAAAUUGUGUUUCUGUCCUGAGGUGGGUUUCCCGAAAACAAAUUAAUCCCCCAAAACAGAACGCUCAUUCGAACCACAAACAUUGAAUCAGCUCUGCCAAAUCUGCAGUAUUGAUUCAGUUUUACGCCUGAAAACUGUAGAAAUGUGUGAUGUUUUGUAAUCAAUAUCAUUAUUCUGAAAUUCAAAUACUCAAACACUUAAAUUACUAAACACAUAAAAAAUAUAUUUACAGUACCUUUUUAUGAUUUUUAACAUUGAAAAUGCAAUACCAAAAGCUAUUAAAAAGCUAGACAGAAACACAUACAGAGUUUAAUAAAAAAGUGUUAAACUACCCAGAAUAUGUUUUAUGCUUUUAGAAAAAAAAAAAAAAAAAUAUAUAUAUAUAUAUAUAUAUAUAUAUAUAUAUAUAUAUAUAUAUAUAUAUUCACGAGGUAGAUCACCUGAAAUGGUUUUCCAACAGUCUUGAAGGAGUUCCCAGAGGUGUUUAGCACUUUUUUGCCCCUUUGCCUUCUUCACUCUGUGCUUCAGCUCACCCCAAACAUCUGGAUUGUGUCCAGAUCCAGGUCCGGUGACUGUGGAGGCCAGGUCAUUUUUUGUUAAGUACAUAAAACUCCACAUGUGUUCAUUCAUAGUUUUGAUGCCUUCAGUGAGAAUCUACAAUAUAAAUAGUCAUGAAAAUAAAGAAAACACAUUGAAUGAGAAGGUGUGUCCAAACUUUUGGCCUGUAGUGUAGUUCGAAACCCACCCCAUAUAUUUUUGGGCCUAACUGUAAGCCAAACUGUAGAGAAAAUUAGGUUUAUGGGUUGAUAUUCUUUUCCACCUUCGUUACUUCGGGCUGCAACCCAGGGACUGGUCCUGUGUGUCUUUCAUGGCAUUCCUCCAGGAGGUGUGUCAUCCAUACUCAUGAAACCACUGGAACGCAGAUAAACUAGGUGAGGACAUCGUCUGCAGCCUCCUGUAUAUCUAACGCUGCCUCAACUCUGGGCUGCACACUGUGGAGGAGGAAAGAGUUAGAAAGACGUGACGAGAGGAGUUCAGUUGUGAUUUUGUUCAUUCGUCACACGAACAUCAAGAACUGCAACUGAGACCUCCCUCUACCCCAACACAUCUAACACACCAGCAGCAGCAGCACCAGGAGAGCCCUCCAAACCAGUUGUAUGAACAUCAAAAGCAACGAGUAGACCGUCUGCACAAUCUACUGUCCUCAUUCUGUGCUCACCAACAGCCAGCAGACUGCAUUCCAACAGCAGCAAUCAGAAACCAUGAGCUUAAAGAGACACACAAGAAGACCCUCCUUGUUAAAAAAAAUGCAUUGUUGCAUAGCUUGCUUAAAACAUGCAUUGUAAUGUAAUCUAAAGGAUUACUCUAAUAAAGUAAUAAAACCAGAA